GUUAUGGAGCUGCUUCCUCUCCCCAGCCUCACCCUGCAGGAAUCCAGUGAAUAUAUUUCCACCAUCUUGGAGCUUAGUGCCCUCAUAGUGUAACAGCACCAGCAGAUCUUCCUGUGCAUGGACUUCCUGUACUACCCAUUCCUGAGGGGUGAUGCUUCUACAGGGCCUGUGACUUGGGGCACAACUUCAGACACCAUCAUCCUGGAGCAGCAAUGCACCCUCACUAGCCAGGGUGUUGAUGACUUCCUCAAGGUCAAGACCACGUUCAAGAUUUCGGACUUUAUUGAUGCACUUGUGAUGAGCAAGGUGGGCGUCUCCGGGAUCUUAAUUGAGGAGAUAGAAUGCAGCUUGAGAUCAAGUGUCUGAUCAAAGAACUUGAACUUGAUCUGGAGGGCUUUGGGGAGCCAUGGAAGGUGCUGGAUAAGGGAGGGACAGUCAGAUACGUGUUAGAGAUGACUGUAAAAGGCUGCCUGGAAGGAGUGAACAAGAGCCAGGAGACCAGGGAGGGAGCUUGUGGGGCAGGUCUGGAGAUGGCAAGGGAAGGAUCCUGCUUGGAUGAACGGUCUCCAGAGACUGUCUCAGGUUACACUCAGGUGCCCUGAGAGCUAGUGUGUUCAGAGGUCUUGUCUCCAGGAUGAAAAUGGGAAGGAGUUGUCAGAUGAGGACAUGUAAAUGGAAGCUGGCAUAUUCGUGAGUGCCGGUGGUCCCGGUGUGGGGCUACUAUGAGAACAGGGGUCUCUCCAUCCAGCGACAUGGUGGAUGGACCCUACAUCACUCCAUUCUGCCCUUUCUUUCCCUCCUCCCGUUCUACCAAGGGCCUCACUGCAUUGCCGCUGUCCAUCCUGUGGUGCUGAAGCAACCAAGAGACCCAAGCCUGCAUGGCUGCCUCUUAGGAUAUGACAGCACAGCCAGUGGCCUCUACUUGAUCCUGUACAACCUCACAAGACACCCAGACACCAGGAGUGCUGCCAGCACGUGUUGCAAGAGUCCUGAGGAGCCACAGUCCUGAAGACAUUGAAUG
rnacentral:sRNA from 1 species